rnacentral:rRNA from 1 species
GACGUAGGGCGCGAGCGUUGUCCGGAUUUAUUGGGCGUAAAGAGCUCGUAGGCGGUUUGCCGCGUCUGCUGUGAAAUCUGGGGGCUCAACCCCCAGCCUGCAGUGGGUACGGGCAGACUAGAGUGCGGUAGGGGAGAUUGGAAUUCCUGGUGUAGCGGUGGAAUGCGCAGAUAUCAGGAGGAACACCGAUGGCGAAGGCAGCUCGCUGGGACGUUACUGACACUAAGGCGCGAAAGCGUGGGGAGCGAACAGG